rnacentral:rRNA from 1 species
AUAGAUUUUAUUUAUUAAUUUUAUUUAUUUAUUUAAUUUAUUUAAUAAAAAUAAUUUUAAAAUUUUAAGUUUAAGUAUUUUAUAAAGAAAAAAUAAUUUUAAUUAUAGUUUAUUUGUAUUGUGAAAGAAAAUUGAAAUAAUUUGAAAAAUUUUUAUUUUAAAAGAAAAUUUAAUUUAUUGUACCUUGUGUAUCAGGGUUUAUUAAAUAAAAAAUUAUUAUAUUAAUUUUUCUCGAAUUUUAAAGAUUUAAUUAUAUAUAAAAGUUACUGUGGAAUAAUUAUUUUUAAUAUAUAAUUAGAAAUGAAAUGUUAAUCGUUUUAAAAUAUAUCUAGUUUUUUAAGAAAUAAAUUUAAUUUAGAUUUAUAAAUUUAAAUUAUUUAAUUAUUUUAAAUAAUUUAUUUUAUAAAAUUAAUAUUUUAAGGGAUUAGCUUUAAAAUAAAUUUUUAAAUUUUAAAUUAAUUAUUUAAUAAAUAUAAGCUUAAAAAUAGCUAUUAUUAAUAAAUUUGUUAUAAUUUAUUUUAAAAAUUUAAUUAUUUAAUAUAAAAUUAAAUUAUUUAUUAAAAUAUAAAUUUUAAUAAUAAAAAUUUAUAAAUUAUGAUAAAAUUAGUAUAUAAAAUUUUUAUAAAUAAUUAUUUAUGAAAGGUUUAAAUAAGGAAUUCGGCAAAAUAUAUAUUCACCUGUUUAUCAAAAACAUGUCUUUUUGAAUUAAAUUUAAAGUCUAACCUGCCCACUGAUAUAAAUUAAAGGGCCGCAGUAUCUUGACCGUGCGAAGGUAGCAUAAUCACUAGUCUUUUAAUUGGAGGCUUGUAUGAAUGGUUGAAUGAGAUAUAUACUGUCUUUUUUAAAAUUAUAUAGAAUUUUAUUUUUUAGUUAAAAAGCUAAAAUAAAAUUAAAGGACGAGAAGACCCUAUAGAUCUUUAUUUUUGUUAUUUAUAAAUUAAAAAGAAUUUUAAAAUUUAUAAUUUAAUAAAAAAUUUUAUUGGGGUGAUAUUAAAAUUUAAAAAACUUUUAAGAUUUAUUAACAUUAAUAUAUGAAUAAAUGAUCCAGUUUUAUUGAUUAAAAAUUUAAGUUACCUUAGGGAUAACAGCGUAAUUUUUUUUUAGAGUUCAUAUCGACAAAAAAGAUUGCGACCUCGAUGUUGGAUUAAGAGUUAUUUUUAGGUGUAGAAGUUUAAAGUUUAGGUCUGUUCGACCUUUGAAUUCUUACAUGAUCUGAGUUCAAACCGGCGUAAGCCAGGUUGGUUUCUAUCCUUAAUUAAUUAUUAUAUUAUAGUACGAAAGGACCUAAUAUAAAAAAUAUAGAUUUUAAUAAUAUGAUUAAUAUUAAUAUUAGAUA